UCGUCCAACCGCCGACACCCAUCCACUCUGGGCUCUCUAAAUCCCACAUUCCCACAAUGCACCUUGGUAACGCCACUCUCCUCUGUCCCUAAUCCCCCUAUUCCCUUCCCUCAGGUUCUCCUGGACACCCCAACCCACAGUCAGGCCUCCACAUACAUCCCACUCAUUUACAUACUGAGCCAGUUCUUCAGGGACCCCCACAGCCCAGCAAACUUCUCCAUCCAUGAGCCCCAUGGACCUGUGGCCAGGAAGGGUGAGGUGUGGUUUUGGCCGAAGAUGAGGUGUUUUGGUAGCCCUGUGGAUGCUGUGUGGUGUCUGGAAUGGGGCGUGUGUGUUCCCAUCAUGCCCCUUCCCCUCUGCCUGCAGAGCUGAGGACAGACAGGUCUGAGGAGCAGAGCAGGAGCUCUGGGAAGGAGAAGAGCAAUAUGAAGAUGGAGUCUAAGAUGAGACCAGGGAAAAGAAGUCAUGGGGACGGAGUCCAGCCCUGAGGUGAGAUGGAAAGUGAUCAAGAGCAGUGACAGCGUGAAUCCUGUUGAUGCCAGGCAAGAGCUGCCCAACUGGGACAAGAGUAACCGUCCCUGUCGGUGAGAUGUGUAUCUGGUUUGGGAAGGAUUCUGGUCACAGCCGUACUGGCUCCAGGCAGGGACUUCCCGUUACCUGGGUGUGGGUUUCCGGACUAGCUGUGGCUUCAGGGGAGAUGAUGUUGCCAUUUGCGAGAGCUGAUCAUCUCUCUGGCCAGGAGUGGUGUGUGCUCCCUAGCAGAAAGUUGGAUCCAUGAGGGUGACUCCCUGUUGUGAAUUUCUUUCGUCCUCCUAGGUUUCUCUCUCUGUGUUGGCCAACUUUCACUCAAACUCUCUCUCUCUCCUUUCAUGGACACCUGUCAUGAAA